CUCGUGAUCCGCCUGCCUUGGCCUCCCAAAAUGCUGGGAUUACAGGCGUGAGCCACUGCUCCCAGCCUGGAAACAUAAAGUUCUUAUAGAGAAAGAGACACUCAAGAGCUCUCUCUCUCUCCCCACAUGCACAGAGGAAAGGCCAUACAAGGGCAGAGAGAGAAGAUGGCCAGCUAUAAGCCAGGAAGAGAGCCUUCACCAGAAACCAAAUUGGUUCGCAUCUUGAUCAUGGACUUCUAGCCUCCAGAGCUGUGGGCAAAUAAGUGUCUGUUGUUUAAGCCACUCAAUCUGUGGUAUUUUGUUAUGGCAGCCUAAUCAGAGUGGGGUGGGGGAAUCUAUAGAGCUAAGAUAGUCAAACUGUAAGGCUGAUGUGUGGAAUGGUUCACCUAUAUGAAUGAUAAAAAUGCCCAUGAAGGCCGGGCAUGGUGGCUCACAUCUGUAAUCCUAGCACUUUGGGAGGCCAAGGAGGGUGGAUCACCUGAGAUCAGGAGUUCAGGACCAACCUGGCCAACAUGGUGAAACCCUGUCUCCACUAAAAAUACAAAAAAUUAGCCGGGUGUGGUGGUGCAUGCCUGUAAUCCCAGCUACUCUGGAGGCUGAGGCAGGAGAAUUGCUUGAACCCAGGAGGUGAAGGUUGCAGUGAGCCGAGAUCGUGCUACUGCACUCGAGCCUGGGUGACAGAGCCAGACUCCAUCUCAAACAAAACAAAACAAAACAAACAAAACGAAACUACCCAUGAAGAUGAUUAUAAAAUGAAUCACAAUGUUAGCUAAACUUACUGGGCACUUGUGGGCCAGGAAAUCAAAGUACUUUAAAUGCAUUAACUCCUCUACCAGUCCCAUGAUAUAGGUGCUACUAUUUCUUACCCACUACACGUGUGAAAGCACUGAGGCAGAGAGAAGUGAAGUAGCGUAUCUAAAGUCACAGAGCUAGUCCGAGGUGGGGCUCGAACCACACACAUAGGCUGGAGAGCCCACACCCUUAACCACUUUUCUGUAUUGGGAUGUGGGAAAUGUUACAAAUCAAGGGCCAAAGAAAGGAUGUACUCAGAGAGGUGAAAGAAGAAAGGUUUCCCAAAGUAAUCGGUCAGAUCAGCUGACAACUCUGGAUGCUCAGUGGGUGAGAGAUGUCAGAAGAUGAUCUCCUUUCCUCACAUCCAGAGGGAGAUGAAAACCUGUGGUGUGAGUUUUAAGGGAUAUAGGAUUUUUGUAUGGGAGUGGAAGAGAAAUAGUGUGGCAGUAAGAAUGGGGUACUGAGCUCUGUGGCUAUGUUCAUACCUAGCAAGCUGCAUCCACCUGAAAAGGUUGUGAUGUGGCAGAAGGUCCGUGUUAAAAGUAGGUGCUGGCUAGAGAGGGUGCCUUCAGGAUCUGCUGCUGCCUGCAGAACUGGAAUUUCCUCCUGACCCACCUCUCAGGGAUGGCCUGAGUCUCCAGCCCUCACCAAUUCUUAGGAAAAGAUGAAGUUGUUCUUAGUUGUAGCAGUCUAGAUCAAAUCAAGUGAUGUAAAACACAGUAGCUUAAGCAGAAGCUUAAUAUGAGAAUUAUUAAAUAUGAUAAAAAGAGGCUGGGCACGGUGGCUUGCACCUGUAAUCCCAGCACUUUGGCAGGCCGAGGUGGGUGGAUCACUUGAGGUCAGGAGUUCGAGACCAGCCUGGCCAACAUGGUGAAACUCCGUCCCUACAAAAACUACAAAAAUUAGCUGGGAGGCGCAUGCCUCUUGUCCCAGUUACUGGGGAUGCUGAGAGAGGAGAAUCGCUUGAACGCAGGAGGCGAUGAGCUGAGAUUGUGUCACUGCACUCCAGCCUGGGCGACAGAGUGAAAAAAAAAAAAAAAAGAAUCACUAUAAGAUAUAAGGAAACUAUAUAGUACCCUAGGGCUGAGAGAGAGUACCCAAGAAAAAAUUAAAUUGGAAAGGUUUCAGAUGUGAUUGAAGAACAUGUGAUUUAGUCCACCUGACAGGAGAAAUGUAUACUGGCUUUCCCAGUCUGAAGCUGGUCUGGAGUUGCUGAGUGAGCAACAGGCCACCUUCUGAAAUGCAAGUACAGGAGCAGGCAAUUAGCAACUGGUGGCAAAGGCAUGCAGUGGGAGUCUGGGCACUGACAGGCAGGAGGGCUUCAGAGAAUGUGGCAUUCUCUGAAAUUUACAAAAUUUGCUCCUCAUCUCAUCAUCUUCUGAGGGCCAGGAUUGGGGAAUUCAUGUGGACAUCCUAGAGAUAUUUUGUGAUAAAAAUGUGAGAGUGUGGAAUCUUGCACUGCUCACGAAUGGGUUGCACCUUACAAGGGGUCAACAAGAUUUCCAAUGGAGAUGAUUUGAUCAUGAGAGGAAAAUCCAAGGACCAACAUUUCCAAAUGGGAGGGGACACAGUCUUAAUUUUGGCAUUCCUCCUUUAUGGCUCUCUGAUAGUCCCCUGCCACCCUCCCUGUUUGUUAUGGGGUUAAGUGAUGGAAGCAGGGACAGACCAGGAGGGGGCUGUGCUCUGUGAACAAAGGCACAACCUUGUAAAUUUAAAUAAAAUAAAACCAACUCUGAGUCCCCAUCCUGUUGGAUGAGAGGGGAAUUGUACUGUAGGGCUUUCUCCUUCAACCCUUCUUUGCCUCAGAAUGGUAUAAAGGUUCCAGGGGCUUUAUGAAGAAUAAAAUAUUUGAGGAGGAUUAUGAGGGUUUUGGCUACUGUUGAGUGCUGUGGGGUUUUUUUUCUCUCUCUUUUCCUUUUUAAUAAGUAGAUAAAUGGGGGAAGAAAAGGCUAAACUAAUAAGAAAGAAUAAAGUGUUUCACAAUUGUUUUGAGGGUAUUUCUCAUAGUCUAUUUGCCUAGAAAGCAGAACCCAAGGUAAAAGUUUAUGGUGUAACUAAUAAACUGAAUUCAACAACACCUUAAAAGGAUCUUACACCAUGAACAAGUGGGAUUUAUUCCAAGCAUGUAAGAAUGGUUUAACAUAUGCAAAUUGAUAAAUGUGAUACACCAUAUUAACAAAAUGAAGGAUAAAAAUCAUAUGAUCAUCUAAAUAGAGACAGCAAAAACAUUUGACAAAAUUCAGCAUCCUUUUAUGAUAAAAACGUUCAAUAAAGGAGAUAUAGAAGAAAUAUGCCUCAACAUAAUAAAGGCCAUAUAUGACAACCCCACAGCUAACACCAUACACAACAGUAAAAAGCUGAAAGCCUUUCCUCUAAGAUCAGGAAAAAGAUAAUGAUGCCCACUUUGGUCACAUCUUCUUUAAUGUAGUAUUGAAGGCCUAACCAGAGCAAUUAGGCAAGAAAAAGAAAUAAAAGGCAUCCAAAUUGGAAAAGAAAAACUAAAAUUUUCUCUGCUUGCAGAUGGCAUGAUCUUAUAUAUAGAAAACCCAGAAAAGCUCUACCCCCAAGCUACUAGAACUAAUAAACAAAUUAAGUAAAGUGGCAGAAUACAAAAUUAACAUACAAAAAAUUAGUAGCUAUACAUGAACUAUACAUUAGUUUCUAUACACUAACAAGGAACUAGCCCUUGAAAGAAAUUAAAAAAAUGAUUCCAUUUAUAAGAGCAUAAAAAAACUUUGGAAUAAAUUUAACCAAGCAGGUGAAAGCUCUAUACAUUGAAAACUAUAAAGAACUGAUGACAGAAAUCCAAGAAGUCACAAAUAAAUGGAAAAAUAUCCUAUGUUCAUGAAUUGGAAGAAUUAAUAUUGUUCAGGUGUCUAUAUUACCCAAAGCAAUCUACAGAUUUAAUGCAAUCCCUAUCAAAGUUCUAAUGACAUUUUUUCACAGAAAUAGAAAAAACAAUACUAAAGUUUAUACGGAGCCACGAAAAGCCAAGAGUAGCCAAAGCAAUCUUGAACAUAAAGAACAAAAGUGGAAGCAUCACACUACUUGAUUUCAAAAUAUACAACAAAGCUAUAGUAAUCAAAAAAGCAUGUUACUGGCAUAAAAACAGAUGCAUAAGUCAGUGGAAUAGAACAGAAAGCCAAGCACAGAAAUAAACUCACAUGAUUAUGAUUCAUUAAUCUUUGACAAAGGUGUCAGGAACACACAUGGGGAAAGGAUAGUUUCUUCAAUAAAUGGUUUUGGGAAAACUGGAUCUCCCCAUGCAGAAGAAUGAAACUGGACCCUUAUCUCAUACCAUUUACAAAAUUCAAUUCGAAGUGGAUUAAGACUUAAACAUAAGACCCCAAACUGUAAAACUAGUAGAAAAAAAAUAGGACUUCUUGAUAUUGGUCUUAGAAAUGAUUUUUUGGAUGUGAUUACAUCCAAAUGGGAUUACUUCAAACUAAAAAGCUGCUUCUGUGCAGGAAAUGAAACAAUCAACUAAGUGAAGAGACAACCUAUGAAUGGGAGAAGAUAUUUGUAAGCCAUGCAUCUGAUAAGGGGUUAAUAUCGAAAAUACUUAAGGAACUUACACAAUUCAAUAGCAAAGAAACAAAUAACCUGAUUAAAAAUGGGCAAAGGACCCAAAUAAACAUUUUUCCAAAGAAAACAUAAAAAUGGCCAACAGUUAUAUGAGAAGGUGCUCAAUGUCACUAAGCAUCAGAGAAACGCAAAUCAAAAUGACAAUGGGAUAUCACCUCAAACAUGUUAGAAUGGCUGUUAUCAAAAAGACAAAAGAUAGCAAGUCUUGAUGAGAAUGUGGAGAAAAGGGAACCCGUGUACACAGUUGGUUGCAAAGCAAAUUAGUACAGCUAUUAUGAAAAACAGUAUGGAAGUGCCUCAAAAUUUAAACAUAUAAUACCAUAUGGUCCAGCAAUCCCACUUCUAUGGUAUUUCAAAGGAAAUGAAAUCAGUAUCUCAGUGAGAUAUCUGUGCUUCCAUAUUUAUUGCAGCAUUACUCACAAUAACCAAGAUGUGGAAUCAGCCUAAGUGUCCAUCAAUGGAUGAAUGGAUUAAGAAACUGUGUACAUGUAUACCUACAGCGGAAUAUUCUUCAGCCUUAAAAAAGACGACAAUUCUGCUAUUGUGACAAUAUGAAUGAACCUGGAGGACAUUAAGCUAAGUUAAAUAAGCCAGGCACAGAAAGACAAAUGCUGCAUGAUCUCAUGGUUAGGUAGAAUCUAAAAAAGUCAAACUUAUAGAAGCAAAGAGUAGAAUGGUGGUUUCCAGGGGCUGGGAGUUGGGAGAAAUGCAGAGAUGUUGGUCAAGGGUACAAAGUUUUAGUUAGGCAGGAUGAAUAGUUCUGGAGGUCUAAUGCAUAGUACAGUGACUCUAGUAACCAAUGCUGGAUUGUAUACUUGAAAUUUGCUGAAAGAGUAAUCUUAAAUGUUGCUACACACAAUAAUAACUAAGAUAACGUAUAUGUUAAUUAGCGUGAUAGUGGUGGUAAUCAUUCCACAAUGUAUAUACAUAUCAAAGCAUCACAUUUUAUCCCUUAAAUAUAUAUAGUUUUAUUUAUUUAUUUAUUUUUUGAGACAGGGUCUUGCUCUAUUGCCAGCUAUGCUGGAGAGCAGUGGUAUGAUCAUGACUCAUUGCAGCCUCGACCUUCUGGACUCAAGUGAUCCUCCUGCCUCAGCCUUCUGAGUAGCUGGGACUACAGGCACCCAUCACGAACUGGCUCAUUUUUAAAUUUUUUGUAGAGAUGAAGUCGUCUAUAUUGCACAGUCUGGUCUCAAAUUCCGGGCCUCAAGUGAUCCUCCCACCUUGGCCUCCCAAUGUAUUGGGAUUACAGGCAUGAGCCCCUGCACCUAGCCUACACAUAAUUUUUAUUUGUUAAUUUUACCUAAAUAAAGCUGGAGAAGAAAAGCUUAUGGCUUUAUAUUUUGUUUAGGAAUGCAGACCAGUGGUGUCCUAGAGCUAGCUUGAACUGCCUCACAAAAGCUGAUCAUUUAAUUUUCAGAGACUGUUGUUAAACACAGCCAUUUAAUUUUUAAUAAUUAAAUUACAUAAACGUACAAUUAGAAGAAAUUAUAUUAAAAACAAAAGCAAUAAAUACCCAAAACUCAUGACUCCCUAAUUAUUUGACUAUAUUUUUCUAUUAUCUAUGCUUUUGAGGUUAUUUACAUUUAUUAUGGAUAUACCAAAAAAAUGUAGUAUCAGAGCAACUCCACUUCCAGUAACAUUAUGUUGUUAGGUUGAAAUCAGACAUUUUGGGAGUACUGUACAUCACAGAUAGAGGCAAAGGCUACAAAUCAGGGCUUGAUUUGUCUUGUUGAUUGUAUAGAGUUAAGAAAGUAAAGAAGAAAAUGUUAAUAUUACAAAUUAAACUUAAAAGCAUGUCAUGUUUGGAGCCGUUAUGUUAGGAAUACUACGUAAAAUGGAAAUGUUCUUCCGGAAUGUGAAAACUGUUGUCCAAUACAACAAAGAAAUUGUUCAUGCCAUGACGAUUACAGUUCAGUCACAUGUCUUUGUACUUUCCCUUUCAUCUUACUUAUUAAUUUAAACGAAAAUAUCAGCCAACAUUUACAUUGGAACUACACUUGAGAGCCAGAUAUUAAAUAUUCACCAGCACAUUACUGGCACAGGCCCCAGGGGCCAGGAGUGAGGGAAAAAGGAAGUGAGGUAGGGAAAGAAACAGUGCAAAUAUAAGGAGGUGUGGGUUCACAUCCAAAGGAAUUGAAAACAGGAUCACAAAGAGUUAUUUGCACACCCGUGUUCAUUGCAGCAUUAUUCACAACAGCCAAGAGAUGGAAGCAACCUACAGGUCCAUUGAUGGAAAAAUGAAUAAAGAAAAUGUGCUAUAUAUACAGGAUGGAAUACUAUUCAGCCUUAAAAAAGAAGAAAAUUAUGUGAUAGGCAAAAACACAGAUGAACCCUUGAGAACGUUAAGGACACUGGCUAAGUGAAAUAAGCCAAUCACAAAGACAGAUACAUACAGCAUGAUUCCACUUACUUGAGGUAUCUAAAGUAGUCAAACAGAAGUGGAAACAGAAAGCAGAAUGGUGGUUGCCAGGAACUGUAGGGAGGGGGAUAGAGGAGUUGCUGUUCAGUGGGAACAGAGUUUCAGUUCUGCAAGAUGCAAAAGUCCUAGAGAUCUGUUGCACAAUGAUGUGCGCAUAGAUGACACUGAUGUAUUGUAAACAUUUACAAAUAAGAUGGCAAAUUUUAUGCCACUUAACUAUAUGUAUUAUAUAUAUUUUUAUACAUGUAUUAUAUGCAUUUUACUACAUAACAUACAGAAAAGAGGAAAAAAGAAAAGAAAUAUAAGGAGGCAUAUUAUUGAUCUGGUCUCAGAGUCUUAAGGGCAGCUAAUUGUGUGGUUUUGUAGUAUACCUUCCGAGUUUCCAAAUAGUCCACCUGGAGAAGAAAGGGAAAAGAAGUUAUCUCCCAGCUCCAACCCCACUUUGUCUACCAGUGAUCAAAGUCACUCUAGGGGGUGUAACCUCACCGUACCCCUGGCUACGUCACCAGAAGUUGGCAGGUUUGCAGGUGCAGCAAUCUUUCUUAGUCUGCUCUGUGCAUGGGGCUUCUCAACCUGUGGCUGUGGUGGCAGCAGCAGUGACCUGGCUCCAUGAUCAUAAGCUACUUCUAGGGCCAGAAAGCAAGGCAUGUGCAUAGACCUGAGUGGCAUAGAUACUGAGCCUAGUACAGUGAUUCCCUGGGUUCUACAUUUAAGCUGAAAUCAGGAAAGGAGUUUUAUGAGGACACUGUUGUUUGUCACCAGAAAUAGGGAGGAAAACAGAAUUGCAAAUUGGCAUGUAAGAGUUUUAUUUAUUUAUUUAUUUAUUUAUUUUGAGGCAAAGUCUCGCUCUUGCCUCCCAGGCUGGAUUACAAUGGCGUGAUCUCAGCUCACUGCAACCUCCGCCUCCUGGGUUCAAGCAAUUCUCCUGCCUCAGUCUCCCUAGUAGCUGGGAUUACAGGCGCCUGCCAUGAAGCCCAGCUAAUUUUUGUAUUUUUAGUAGAGACGGAGUUUCACCAUGUUGGCCAGGCUGGUCUCGAACUCCUGACCUCAGGUGAUCUGCCCGCCUUGGCCUCCCAAAGUGCUGGGAUUACAGGUGUGAGCCACCGUGCCUGGCAGCAUAUAAGGGUUUUAGUUGAGGAAGCCAUUUGUCAAAAAUGCAGACAGGUGACAAUGACCUAGGUAAUAUAUUUUCUGCAGAGGAAAAGCAUUUUCAUAGUAUCUACUCAGAGUUCCAUACAGCAAAAUAAAGGCCAGUACUAUUGGUGACUGUUGUACUGUGGCUGUAGUAAGUAGUUUAUAAAACUCAGCUAACGAAUGGGAGAAAGCUACAUUUAUUAAAAGAUCAUGAUAUUGAUAAGAAUGCAUUUUAAUUUUCAAGGUAUCAUUUCAGAGAGUGAAUUUAUCUGCAUAAAGAGCUGACUGGAACGUAGAUUUUAUUAUUCUCCACUAUUGGGAAAUUGGCAAUGACAAGUAGGGUCAAAUCCCCUUUAUUUAUAUUGCAUUUAUGUUGUGCUUUGGAGAACAGAUUGUCACAUUAAUUAAGCUGAACAAAUUCUUGUGAAGAGGACUUACUUUUAUUAGCGAGCACUUAUUAAUCACAAGGCUUUCCUUUCAUCUAAUCAGUUGUUACAACUACUCUCCUGGUGAAGCAGUUUUUAUUUCCCUUCCUAUUCAGCAGUGAAGAAAUUGACUCAAGGUCAUCCAGAUAGAACUACACAGAGGAGACAUGACAUUUUUCUUAACAACGGUUUAGGAUCUUGUAGCAAGGGUACUCCCUAGAAGAGGAAAGCAAUUAUUAAGACAAUAAAAUUGUCAUGAAGGUGCAAUUUGUCUCCUCUGUGCUUUCUGUUCCCCAGUCCAUCUCAACUCCCUAAAGUUUGAAUCCCUUUAGCAACACCCUCAGGGACCUCUGACGUCUCCUCACUUUACCAUCCUCAGCCCUUGCUCCCACGCACGUAGCUUGACUAUCUCUGGACAGCGUCCACGGUCAGACACAACCUGUGCUCCUUCUUUGUUGCACAUCUCUGAUGAUGACAGUAUAGUAGGUCAUGGGUUAACCCUAGAAAAAAGUCCCUUUUAUAUCUCUCAGAAAGCAAAUUAGUCCAUAAGUAACUCCAGGCACGUUCUCAAGCCUGGGUGAGAUAUUUAUGGCUGGUUGAAGAGAAGAACAUCCAAUGCCCCUAUAAUGGCUGCCAGGGCACUCCCCAUCCCAUCGCUCUCCGCUGCUGUCUUAUCCCCUCGCCUUUACCACUUUACUGCACCCUGGUCUGACAUCUGACUGCCAGCGCCUGCAUUUCCGAAAUUGUGGGUUUUUCCCGUGGGAGCUGCAGGCCAGCAGCGCCCCUACCCUCAGCAGCCUUCCACUGAUUGACAGAAGUCGGUGUAUGUGAAUACCCCAACCGCUCACCCUGGGGGUGGGACAACCCUGAGGCCCACGCUCUACACUGGUCUCAGAGUUCCACAGCAGAAUCAAGCUCCAGUUGCUUAUGUAUUAGCUUGCUUGAUAAUAAUCCUUUCACUGACUUCCUUCCUUGCUCAUCUCACUUCCCUACUCGCCUAAUGGUGCUAUCUGGGAUUGCCUCCCCAAUAAAAUACUUUGCUUGGGGAUUCUUGCCUCAAGAUUGGCCUCUGGAAGGAACCCAAAUAAGCAGACUCCAAAAUUGUAGGACAAAUUUGAACUGAAUAUAAGACCAACCUUUACUUUCAAAAGAGCCCUGGAAGAUGGGGUAUGAAGUUUGGCUGAGCUCUUUCUAUGCUUGUUGCAUGACUUUGAUUUGCCUGGAGCUGAAGGGACUCUGGAUGUUCCAGUUCUCCACACCUCAUUAGUUUUUCAAAGUUGUUUCACAAAGCCAGUAGUUCUCUAUUUUUAUCUAUGUUAGCUCUUUUUGAGAUAAAGUUUAAUUAAUGUAUUAGAUUCUGUGAGAGAAGCAAUGAGCCUGAAAUUUAAUGAGUUAAUCUUUUUUCUCCCUUUCUUUUCUCUAAUAAUGGGAGCAUGUUGGCAUUUGGCUAAGUUCCAUACAGUUUGAUAUGUAGUUGUAAAUACAAAAAUAGAUGAACUAAGUACCUAGCUCCCCAAGUUAGAAGAGAUGAUGGCAAAAUACAUUUAAGGAAAGUAGGAGGAAAACACAAUAAAUAUAAAAACAGUGAUUAUUGAAUUAACACCCACAAAAAGUAUAGCAUUGAUAAAUCAAAGAGUAGGCUCUUAAAAAAAGCAAUAAGUUAUAUAAACUUCUGGCAAGUCUGUUCAGGAGAAAAAAGAGAACACAAGCAGAUUUACCUAUAUACUGUACAUCACAUUAAUGAAUCAAAGGAUGCCUUUUUAUCACAGCUGUUUUUCAGCAUUGUUUAGGAAAUUAUGCAGAAUUACCCUAACUUCAAUCCAGUAGCACAGGUUUUCCAAGCAGUGGUGGCUGUGGAAGGUCUGGGUAGGAAAGGAUAAGAGAACACAGGCUGUGGCAUGGGGGUGUUGGAGACAGGACUGCCAUUGUCCUGAGGCAUAUUAGUGGAUGUUUUGCAUAUUAGUGGAUGUAUAAUAGUGAUGAAAGGUUGAAUAAGUUUAGCUAGGAUUCUUUAUCACAUGACUUUUCAAAGCCCUCAACACUCCAAUGUAAGCAGAGAACCUACGAGAGGGAGAUAAAGGAUCCAGCAUUUUUCAAAUUCAUGGAAUGCUAGGGCCCUGUGGACUGUGGAUUACACAACACUGUGCUAGGGGCUGUGGUGAAGCAAGAACUGAAAAGCAGCACAAAAAGAACUAUAAAUUUAUUUACAAAAAUAGAUCAUUAAUUUUGUUUGCUAGAGAAUAUGAUCGUUUCUCUAGGAAGUGUAAGAAAAUUAAUUGAAAACCUAUAUGACCAGCUACAACAUAACUAUGUACAAAGUAAUAGCUUUUCAACAUGCCAACAAACACCAGGUACAAAUAAAAUAGAAAAAAAAUUAUAUUUAAAUACCAUGAAACUAUAAAAUACUUAGGAAUAAAAUUGACAAGAAAUACACUGGAUCUAUAUGAAGAAAGUCAAAAAGUGUUCCUGAAAACCAUAAAACAACAAAUGGGGAGCUUUUUCUAUGUUUUGAAGAUGUUGGUUUCCCAAAUUAAUCUGUGGAUAUCAUAUAGACACAAUUAGAAUAGUGAUAGAAAUUUAAAAGGAAUUUAAACAAUUAUCUAAAGUUAACUAAAAGCUUUCUACUUUCGUGUUGCAUUUUUGAAAUAAAAAUUCGUAUUUAUUAUUUUUGCAAUGAGAUAAAAAUUAUUAAAACAUGAGAAAUACUCUUAAAAUAUUUAAGCAAGAAGUAAUAUAGGAAGGACUUACCUUACUAGAUGUGAAUAUAAUAUAUGAAAAGACUAUAAAAAUGUAACAAAGUUUCAUGGUACUGAAUUAAGACCAUGUGAUAAAGAAUAGACGCACACUCUAGAAGACUAAAUAGCUUAAAAUGUAGCAAAUGAGUCAUCACAAAUCUAUUCCAAAGACAUGAAUUGUUUAAUAACUGGUGUUGAGAAAAUUGGCUAUUUUCAAAAGCAGUUAACUUAGAACCUCACUUAGAAGUGUAUGCAAAGCUUUAAAAAAAACUUGAAAAAAACCAGCAAGGAAGAGAUUAUGUAUUUAAUCUCUAAAUAGGUAAAAAAAAAUCCCCCAGUAGAAAACAGAAGGAAUUACAAAGAAAAAACACGUAGAAUUGAUUACAUAAAGUUUUAAAUUUUCCACUCUUCAAAAACGAUGUAAAAAUGAGAAGGAAAACAACAAAUGGGGAUUAUAAGUUUUAAUCAUUUAAGCCCUCAUAAAAAUGAUUUAAAAAAUUCUGAGAUCUCAAUGAACAAAGAACAAGAAGAUGGAAAAUUCAGAAAGGAGAAAUUAUAAAUGACUAAUACAUAUAUUGUAAAGCUUUAUUCACUUUUUAUUAGAGACAGGGGGAGUAGAGGGAGCAAGGAUUUGCUAUAUUGCCCGGGAUGGUUUCGAACUCCUGGCUGCAAGUGAUCCUCCUGCCUCUGCCUCCCAAAGUGCUGGGAUUACAGGUGUGAAUGACUGGGGCUGGCCCUAAAACAUUUUAUAUAUCGCCUGUAUUCCCAGCACUUUGGGAGGCCAAGGUGGGGGGAUCACCUGAGGUCAGGAGUUUGAGACCAGCCUGGCCAACAUGGUGAAACACCAUCUCUACUAAAAAUACAAAAAUUAGUUGGGUGUGGUGGUAGAUGCCUGUAAAUCCAGCUACACAGGAGGCUGAGGCAGGAGAAUCGCUUGAACCCAGGAGGCAAAGGUUGCAGUGAGCCGAGAUCACGCCAUUGCACUCCAGACUGGGCGCCAAGAGUGAAACUCAGACUCAAAAACAAAAGAAAAGAAAAGAAAAACAAAACGAAACACAUUUUAUAUAUCAACUUUAGUGUUAAUCAAAGAAAUGCACAAUAAAGCACAGUGGAUUGCCAAGUCUGGUUGAAAAUUGGAAGCUGUAUCCUCUCUCAGACAGAGAUGGCCUGCUUGCUCCAAGCAUCAUGCUGGGAAGUGCUGAGCAGCCAUGGACCACAUUUCCCACACAGUCAGGUGCCACCCUGUGCCUGCGUUCCAGCCAAUGGAGAGUUGGUGGAACUGAUGUAAGCCUUUUGUGGACUGGGCCCCUAAAAGCCUCCCGCAUAGAAAUACAUCAUGUUUUUUGUUCCUUCUGGCUGGCCAGAAUAGAAGGCAACCCCAGGAUAACCUUGAAGCCAAGUGUUGAAGAAAGCAAAGCCUUGUCAAUUCUGGGUCCCUGAAAGACCCAGAUAGAUUGGAGCCUGCUUAUUAUUCCCAUAUCCACUACUGUAAUGAGAACAAGAAUAAAUUCCUGUUGUGUAUGAGCUACCAUCCGCUUUGGGGUCUAUUUGUUACAGCAGUUAGUCUACCAUACCACUACUGCAUCCCAGGAUGCUUUGGCCCAGUCUUACUCUAACAAACUGGGUGCUGCCAACACAUGGGGCUUUGUGGGCCAUAUGGUCUCUAUGGCAACCACUCAACUUUACCAUUGCAGAGGAAAGCAGUCUCAGACAAUACUUAAAUGAAUGGCUGUGGCAGUGCUUCAAUAAAGCUUUACUUACAGAAACAGGCAGCUGGUAAGAUUUGUUCCAGGUGGCUGCCAGGUCUCUGCUGUAUCCCUUUACCCUGUUUUAUUUUCUUUCACAGAACUUACUGCUACAUGAUGUAUUCUAUAUUGAAGCUCCCUGAGAAAAGAGAUGUUUUGUGUCUCAUUUAUCAACAUAUCCCCCGCAUGCAGAAUAAUGACUAGCUCAUAACAGACCUUUGAUAAACAUUUGUUGAAUAAAUGAUCAUAAGGUUUUGGUGAAAUCGGUUCAUUCAUCCACUGCUGCUAUAAUUGUUAAUUUUAGUAUUUUAUUUCUGCAAAACAAUGUGGCAGAACUUAUUGAAAAUGGUAUUCAUUAAUUUUAACUUUUUCACUUCUAGGAAAUAACCAGGAAUGCAAAGAGCUUAUCACCUCAUUAUUUACAACAGUGAAAAUGGAAAAAGUAUAUGUUCAUGUAUAUGAAAACCUCACGUGCAGAUCAUGCACUAGAUCAUGCAUACAUGGCCCUGGGUCUUCAUGGAGGCCUAGGCCCUGCACCCAGCUCAGGUCCUAGCUGUACAGCUCUCAGAGUCAGAGUAGGAAACCCACUUGCUUCCUCUGAGAUGAGCCAUUUGUGAGACUGGCAUUUUGUACUCAUUCAUACUUGUGGUCAAUGUACCGUGUAUUUUUUGAGUGCUAGCUAUGGGCCAGGCCCUUUUCUAGCUGGAGGAUAACAGCAAUUAUAAGACUGGCAAGAUACCUAGGUAUAUACUGGAGCUUUUUUUCCUACUGGAAGAAGAGAGUAAAAAGUAAGACAAUUUCAUGUCAUAAUAAGUGCUAGGGAAGCUGGGAUGGGGGAGCUCCUACUUUGGUAGGGUCUGGGAGUACUCCCCAGAGAGCUAAUGGGGAGCUGAGAGGGAACCCACUGCCCACGUAUGGGGAUCUGGGAGAAGUACACCCCAUAGUGAGUGGGGGUUGGAGAGAAGACAGUAUGGGGUGAGUGGGUGAAAGAUUGGUCAAAGGCAGGGCAGAGCCCAGAUCUACAGCACCUUGUGGGUUGUGGCUGAGAGUUUGGAUUUUAUUCUGAGAGCAGUGGGAAACCACUGAAGGCCUUUAAGCAAGGCAAUCAAAACAUGACCUGAUUGAUAUUUGCAGAGGUGUGUUGAGAAUGGAUUGUAGAGCUGGAAAGCAAUCAGGGAGACCAUAAGGAGCUGUUACAAGUUCAUGGUGAGUCUCCCUUCUUUUUUGGGGGUCUUAACAGAAAGAGUUGAGGAUUGGGGGUUGCAAGAUCACAUCAACUAGAAAGAGAUUCCAGGGAUGAGUGUGAGUCUGAGACACACGAUAACCCUCUUCCUUCCACACCAGCAUCCUGCUGUCCUCUAUCUCAACAAAUGGCUCCACACAGCCACCUCGGCCAGAAAACUGGCUUGCCAGAUAUCUUCCGUUACCUCUCCAGAGCCUCUCUGUCUUUAUCCUCUUCUGCAUCCAGGUGGGUGCUAUAUGGACCACACCAAAGGACUCCCUUGCUUUCUGGCUUCUGGGAGGGGUCAGCCAAUGGGGAGUCCUAUAAAGAAAUAAGAAGAAGGGAGGAGAGUGAGAACUGGAUAUUUUUCCCGCAGGCUCAUGCUGCUGGUUUGCCUCUCUUUGGCUGUGUUGUUCAACCAGAGGUCACUGUUUCUCUCAUGGCAGCCCUUGUUACACAACGCCGUCUUUCUAGGUCAAGUAACUGCUGCUUUCGCUUGUGCCUUCAGGCCUAUGGGUGGUAUAAGCUCCACCUCUGGGGACUGCUUGAUCUCUGUGGCUCCCCUACACCCUGUCCACACCUCUCUCAACAAUGCCUUUAUUAAUCCUCUUGAUGUUCUAAUUUGAUUUUCUGUUUUAGGUCCUGUCUGAUAUAUGUGAGCAUCAUCCCUGAUUCUUCUCUCAUCAUUUUUCUUUCGCUAAUCUAUCACCAAAGUAUAAAUAAAAUUUUUUUGUCUUUUUAUUCCAAUCUCAGAACUAGUGUCCUAACUCAGGCCAUUAUCAUCUUUUACUGGGAUUUCUGAAAAAGUUUUCUAACUAGUCUCCUUGCCUUCAAUCUUGUCUUCGUUCAGAAAUUGUUUCCAUUGUUGCUAACAGAUCUUUCUAAGAUGAAAACCUGGACUGGGCACGGUGGCUUAGGUCUGUAAUCCCAGUGCUUUGGGAGGCCGAGGCAGGAGGAUCACUUGAGCCCAGGAGUUUGAGGUUGCGGUGAGUUAUGAUCACUUUGCUGCACUGCAGCCUAGGCAAAAGACUGGGGCCCUAUCUCAAAUAAAUAAAUAAAUAAAUAAAUAAAUAAAUAAAUAAAUAAGUCAAAUGAAAGCCUGAUCAUAUUUCUCUGUUUAAAACCUUUGAAUGGUUCCUCAUUGCUCUUAAAUAAAAUUCAAACCCCUAAGUGAGGAUUUCUAGGACUUGUACUACCUGGUCUCUGCUUGUAUCCUGGCUUAUUACUUCCCAUCUCAUACAUUUUGACCUAGCCCCUUAAACUGCUUACAGGCCUCAAAACUUCUGUGCCUUCUCUUACCCCUGGGCCUUGUUUAACUUGCAACCAGGAAGUGCCAAGGCAAAGAAGACAGUGCUAAGUCUGUGGCCAAUGCACAAGAGGCUUUUGCCACCCAGGGAGGCUGUAUUGCUUUUGAAUAAACUCAUCUUUCAAAUUAGAACUGCCAUUUUCAGCUUAGGUGCAGCCCUCACUCUAAAGAUAGUCAUCUUGGGUGAUCUCACAUCCUGACAUUCACAGACUUCUGUAACACUCAAAAGUUAUUGGACAGAAUUUCUUCAAGGAAACAGUGAGACCCUCUAGACCUACACUGUUCGAUACAGCAGCCACUAGCCACAUGUGAGCACUGAGCACUUGAAAUGUGGUUAGUGUAGUUUAAGAUGUGCUGUAAAUGUAAAAUACCAUUAUGAUUUGAACAUGUUCACAAAGUUCGUGUGGUAGCAAUUUAAUCCCCAGUGCAACAGUGUUGGGAGAUGGGGCUAAUAAGAAAUGAUUGUCGUGACAACUCUGCCCUCAUGAAUGGAGCAAUGUCAUUAUCACAGGAGUGAGUUUGUUAUGAAAGUUUGGCCCUCUCCUGUCUCUCACCCUCUCUCAUCUUUCCACCUUUUGUCGUGGGAUGACACAGCAUGAAGGCCCUUGCCAGAUGCUGGUGCCAUCCUUUUGGAUUUCCCAGACUCUAAAACUGUGAGCCAAAUAAAUUUCUGUUUAUUAUAAAUUAUCUAGUCUGUCAUAUUCUGUUACAGAAAUAUAAAAUGGACUAAGACAAAUCCACACUGGAUUUUGAAGAUUUAGAAUGAAAAAAAUGUAAAUAUCUCAUUAAUAAUGUUUAAAUUGAUCACAUGUUGAAAUAAUAUUUUGAUAGGUUAAAUAAACAUAUUGUUAAAUUA